GCCUGACGGUGCUCGAAAAGUUUCGAUCGAUCUCCAUCGUCCCGCGUCAUUGCGGGGUUCCUAAUCCUGGGGCCGUGGGUUCGAAUCCCGCACGGGGCGCCA
rnacentral:tRNA from 1 species